GUAACCAAUGGCCACUUUGGUGCGGGCGGUUUGCCGUCCGAUUAAAAGGGAACGUGGUUCGGCCAUAUAGCCAAGUCCACGACUGCCCCCGCAACUGUAGGCGGAGAGCGAAGCCGGUAUAACCACUGUCACGAAACGUGUGAUGGGAAGGUCCGGCCAAGCAUUGACCCGCAAGUCAGGAAACCUGCCGAAGUGUUCACCCUGUC
rnacentral:ncRNA from 2 species